UACGUAGGGUGCGAGCGUUGUCCGGAAUUAUUGGGCGUAAAGAGCUUGUAGGCGGUUUGUCGCGUCUGCCGUGAAAAUCCGGGAGCUCAACCCGCGUGUCAUGGGUACGGGCAGACUAGAGUGUGGUAGGGGAGACUGGAAUUCCUGGUGUAGCGGUGAAAUGCGCAGAUAUCAGGAGGAACACCGAUGGCGAAGGCAGGUCUCUGGGCCACUACUGACGCUGAGAAGCGAAAGCAUGGGGAGCGAACAGG
rnacentral:rRNA from 1 species